CGUCCCAAGCCAGUUCUUAACCAUGGCGCCACUCGGCCGGCCCAUGAUGUCUUCUUUUAAUCUCUCAUUUAAACAUCAUUUAAAAACAGGUGCUGUAUUUGAUCAGUUUUCAUUUUUAUGAUGGAAAAACCUGAAGCCCAGAGAUGACAUGCGAUGUGCCACACAGCCAGUUAAUGGCAAACUGCAACUGGAACCCAGGCCAACACUUUUCCACCUUAAGGUGCUUGUCCUGUCCUGGGGCUGGGAGACUGAGGAACGAGUACAGGGGACAGCGGUGACUCACUGGGUGGCAUAGCUUCCUGUCCCCGGGUAGCUGAGAAGUCUCCUGGUUCAUUAGAAUCAUCUGAGUGAUUCAAGCUUCCUGUUCCAUUUAUAGUCAGGCCAUUGGAUGAGCUCACUGGGGCGGUCGGUGCUCUCGCGGGCUCUGGUGGCAGGGCCGGCUCCUUAGAGGUCAGGGGUUCUGUUCCUGACUUGUAAACAGCCCAAGGACCAGGGGCAGGUGGCUGGGAGCCAAAGCCCCCAACCAAGAUGCAUUCAUUCAGCACCAACAUGCAGGACACCAUCGCAGGCUCUGGGGAUUCAGGAAUGAGGAAAGGAGACAGAACCUCUCCCCUCAUGGAGCCACACUCUGGUGGAGGGCACACAGACUAUCAUCACUGCUGUGGAGAGGAAAUAGAGCAGGGCGCGUGGUCGGCAGGGCGCCGUAGAGAAAUGAUAUCUGAGCGAAGACCCGAGGGGAGGAGGGCACAAGCCACGUGGACGCCGAGGGGCUGGUUCCGACAGAGGGCACGUGUGUGGGACAGGCCUGUGACUGCGGGCCCAGCAGCAGGGAAGUUCACACAGCCUGAGUGAGAUGGGAAACCCCGUCUCACAGGGAAGCCUCUGGCUGCCGCGUUGAGGGGACAGGAGAACAAAGUGGGAACCGAGCAGAGUGGUGGCCGACGCGUCUUGCUCUAGACACAGGGUCUUCGAGUCUUCCGCCCUCGGAACGGCGAUGGUUCUCAAGCUCAUGGGCCUCAUGGGGAAGCCAUCCUGCCGUCUUGCUGGCAGCCAACACAAAGGACAGCGGGAUGCCCUCACCUGAGAUCCUGUGUCCUGCUUCUCCAUGAAGGAGCUUCAGAGAGAAGCAGGUGCAGCCUGGAAAUGGUGGCCCAGACAACCUGCAGCCAUGUUCACAGGCCCAGCAGAAACCUCUGUUCAUGGGAUUGUCAUCCUGGCUGCACUGAAUCUCUGGGCACUUUCAACACGGUGAUGCCCAGGAGGCGCCAAGACCAAUGAGCCCGGCUCACAGAUUCAUCGCCGCGGAGUCCCUAAUGCUGCCUCCUGCUCUUGUUCUAGGGCCAUCCAUUGACUCACCUUGUGUGUGCUAGGGUGCUGGCCAUUCUGCGCUGGCUGCUGCUCACCCCAAAUACACAUGCACACAUGCAUGCACACACAUGCACACACAUGCACACAUGCGUACAUGCACACACACACACACACACACCAGCCAUCAUAUUCUCAACAUGUUGCAUCAUGAACACUGGACUAUUUGAAUUAUCUCCAUGAAAAACUACAACUCCAUGUCCUUUCUUUGACACUUUCCCCCUAAAGUGCAUAAUUGCCUCCAUCUGUCUUCCUACUGCUUAACUUUUUAUGUGCCUAUAAUGAAUGCACACCACAUUCUGCGGUGGAUGUGAACCUCUUCCUGACUUGCACAUCACGUCAUGGCCUGCCUGUCCCACCUCCUGCUGCUGAGCCCCUGAGUCAGCCUUCCUUUCCAGUCCGCACUGGGUUUGCUGGGGGUUGAGAGAGGGACCUUGAGGGCUUUUCCUCUCCCCUCUUCCUGUGUUGGAUUUUUCUCUCUGGAUCCAUUGUCCUUGUGUUUCUUGAGUAGUCCUUCAUCCGAUAAGAGCACACUUCCAGUAGCUUCCAGAGGAAGUGUGCAUGAGGGACCCUGAAUGUCUGACAUGCAUGUGGCCGUCUCAGGAUUCCAGCGGGAAGUGACCUGCCACGGUCCUGGCCCCUUACCUCCCACAGUCCAGCACGGGUGUCAUUGGUGGCGUUUGCUUCCAGUUCUGCAUGUGGCCCUGCUCCUUCCCCGUGACAGUGGCUCCAAGGACCACCCUUUACCCCGAAUUCUGGGGUGCAUGCCUCGUGGAGGGUCUGGGUCUCCCCUCAGGGAAACUCCGUUUCCCUCGAAUGUUUUACUGGCCUGCCGAGCCACAGAGGUGUCUACGUUCCCGUGUCCUGAGCGCAGCAUCUGCUCUUUUGUCUGAGGAUGCAAACCCUCACGUUUUUACGCAUCGCCUACAUCAUAUCUGUUUCCUCUGAAUAGCGUCAAUUAGCUGCUUUCCCCCACAGUCUGGUGAGUUGGGCUGUCCAGGCAGGAGACAGGCUCUAAAGGGGGUGAUGGCGGCUCUUUGUGCGUGCCCCGCGUGGAGCGGUCUGGCAGGAACGCAGCAUCAGGUGCUGGUAUUAGAGUCUAUGGGGCUUCUUUCAGUGACUAAUGACAUUCUUCAAAGGAAAGUGUGUCCACUUCUUGUCUGGAGGAUGCCCCAGUGUGCCGAAACCCCGGUGGGGGGGAAGGGCAGGGCUGUGGGGUGGCCUCACCCUUGAUGUGCCGUCCCUCACUUGCCCAUUCCAGCAGAGACCUGCUCUCUGACCCAUGCAGGGACCAAGCCUUCUCCAGGCUGCAGCUGCCUUACUGUGAGCAGUGCAGGGAAGGGCUUCUUUUCAAGUUUUCCACAAGUCCCCAAUCUUCAGGCUUACCCUCUCCCUGAUUCAUGGAACCUUGCUGUUUCCAUGUCUGUGGGCUCGGUUGUCCUCAGCAUGAUGAGGCCACAUUCCCCUACCCUCCAGCUCCCACAGUCUCCUGUUCUUCCUGCCCCGCGUCCCUACCCUUUCCUUUCUUUUUCUUCUUCUCUUCCUUCUACACCUCUCUGGGCAUUUCAGAGAGAUUUCAGAUGGGAACAAAGGAAAAACCAGGCAUUCAAUUCACCAAACCCCCAAGAUCUUUUCUACUUUUUAAACAGUGUCACGCUCCAAACUCAGGGACAAAUGAAAAGAAUGAAUGGACCCACCAGGAAGCCUUUGUCCUCCAGGCCAGGAGGGGCUGGAGUAUCUACACUAACUCCUUCUGUUGGUUACUUGGUACAAGGCAGUGGACAGUUCUGAACGACUGAGCUCUGAGCUCCUGUAACAGUUCAUUACAUUUAUAGCAGAUAUAACUGUCUCUUCCAAAAGAGAGUCAUCCCUCAAUGCAGUAAUUUCCAUAUUUCCUUUGUAUUGUUGGGGUUCAGCAUCUAGUGUGUGCCUGAUAAACGUCUGUGGGACACUUGGUAAACAAUGGCCUCAUUCAACAAUGGGUUAGUGGAGAAAUGACUCAGAAUGACACAUUUCUUCUUUUUCCUUUAGUUUGCUUUGCUCACAUACAAGUAUCUACAACAUGCUGCAUUUUUGGUCUCUGACCAGAUUCCCAGCUGUUUGAAGACAUAGACUGUCCUAGAAUCGUAGAACCAGAAACAGGAGCACACAGAGCCUCUUUGAGGUCAUCAUCGAGGCCCAUGUGGCACGAGCUGUGUGGAGAAGGUGGAGGGGGUAGGAAAGGUCAGAGAGAAGACAGAGCCCAGACUGUGUGGGGCUCAGAGUCAAGACAAGACCUGGUCUUCGAUCUGCCACAUAUGUGACCCGGCACCACUGUCUGCUGUCCCUGCAUGUUGCAUGCUCCUUCAGUCCUGCUCUGGCCCUCCCACCAAGACAAGACUGAGGAGGGCGUGGGUGCACAGCGGGGCAACAGGUGACACGCAGCAACGCAUGUCCACUCAGUGUGCCUGGUGUCCUCGUCACUUCUGACCCCUCGUCACUUCAGCCACCACAUGUCAGGCUCAACAGGGAAGGCAGGGGACUGGCGUGGAAGCUCUGCUUGGCGUUCUUCUCUGGUCGGGAUGUCUACGUCAAGUGCACACCAGUGUUUCAUAACCCUCACGGCCAGAGCUUGCAGCACAACCUCUGCCGCUGUGGUCCUUCUUCCUUCCCACGCCUCUCCAAGAUCUGAACUUUUGAGCUCGGCCUAUGGCCCAGCCCCACGCAACAGAAGCUGCUCUCGCCACAGUAGCCAGUGCCUCCAAACACCAUCACUGUCCAGUGCUGCUGCAGAGGGGCCUGGAAACUAGGAGGCCCCUGGGCUUCGACCUUGACCCCUGUGUUUUGUGGCCCAUGACCUUUAACUCUGACUUGGCUUUUGACUUCUGUCUUGUCUAUUGAGCCAGGCCUCUGGUUCACUUCAGUGACUUCCAGUUUUUAUUUAGCUCAUAUCGAUUAUUUGCUGGAACAAUAUUUGCCACCCUGGUUUCAGGUUAUUUCAUCUGUCCUUGUCCCGAAUCCACAGAUUUCUGGGACUUGUGCCCAGCCCAUGACAAAAACGCAGCAUGUAAUGAAUGUUACUGAAAUUAUUGUAUUUUAAAAAACUAACCAAGUCCCUCCUGGCUUGUGGACAAGUUUGUAAAGGUGGGCACUGACAUUUUCAUUUCCUCAGGGCUCCCGUGUGGGAUGUUUCCUUCACAUGGCCAUUCUAUACAUCUUUUCUUCUGUGUCAGGGUAGACGUGACUCCUGGAGGAUGUGGACCAUGACUCAUUCACCCUUAUGCUUCCUACACCUCUAUUCAGAUGCCGGAGGAGUCACUAAAUUUUCACACAGGGAAGACUCACCUGGAGAACCCAUGGAGCAUGCACCCGCAGGCCGUGCAGGUCACUCUGUCUGUGUGCCUGAGGCAGGCCUGGGCCUGGGCAUCUUCGUCAAGCUUGUGGGGUUUUUCUGCACAUGUCUUUCCUCUGACAUCACUCCAGCAGUCAGUCGGCACGCACACCAAGAAAGCCUGGUUGCUCCUCCCGCAGCACACUUCCUGCCUGCGCCUUCCCCUUGCUCACACUGAACUCCAUGAGUGUCUGGCACAGUGCAGGCGCUCGGAGAAGCACUUGCUCGCUAAUGGAGGUGGAGGAUAGGCGCGUGGGAGGAACAGAGGACAAAGAACAAUGUGGGGCUGCACUUCCUGCUUUGGAGCACACGUGCCGUUUCCUACAUGAGAAAGACUAACAUGGACAAAGCCGUCAGUGCUGUUUACACCACACGCACGUUGUGGACGGACACGCAGCAGAGGCCGGCUCCAGAGGGAAGGUGGCCGACUGCCAAACACCCAGGGCUUCCUGACGGAGUGGCCUCUGCUCUCCUUUGCAGGGGCCAGCCCCUCCUUUUUCAUCACUGCUGACAGUGAAGUGCCGUUCUCCCUGAAGUCCAUGACGCUGUCCUUGUCCUAGCAGCUGUCUGCCUUCCCUGCAUCCCUGCUCAGCCGGCUCUCUCCUCCCUCUCCACCCGCCCACUGCUGGGUCUGGCCUGGGAGGCGCUGAUCCAGCCUUGCUGGCUCCAGUCUG